rnacentral:rRNA from 1 species
GAGGUCCGACCUGCCCAGUGAUAUUAAUUCAACGGCCGCGGUAUUCUGACCGUGCUAAGGUAGCACAAUCACUUGUCUCUUAAAUGGGGACUAGUAUGAAAGGCCCCACGAGGGUCUGACUGUCUCCUUUUUUUAAUCUGUGAAACUAAUCUCCCCGUGAAGAAGCGGGGAUUACUAUAUAAGACGAGAAGACCCUAUGGAGCUUUAGACGAAACAAUAUAUUUCCCCCCCCUCCCUACUAUUUCAGAAAAUCAACUAUCAAGGAAUCUUAUUGCUAGUCUUUGGUUGGGGCGGCCGCGGAGAAAAACUUAUCCUCCACGAUGAGUGGGAACUUCCCAUAAUAAAGAGCCACAGCUCAAUGUAUCAAAAAAAUUGACAAAUGACCCAAUAUUUGAUCAACGAAACAAGGUUACCCUAGGGAUAAACAGCGCAAUCUACUUCAAAGAAGAACUUUUAAUAGCU